rnacentral:rRNA from 1 species
AACGUAGGAGACUAGCGUUAUCCGGAUUUACUGGGCGUAAAGCGUGUGCAGGCGGUUCGGCAAGUUGGAUGUGAAAUCUCCCGGCUCAACUGGGAGGGUCGUUCAAUACUACCGAACUUGAGGGCAUCAGAGGAAGGUGGAAUUCCGGGUGUAGUGGUGAAAUGCGUAGAUAUCCGGAGGAACACCAGUGGCGAAGGCGGCCUUCUGGGAUGCUCCUGACGCUCAGACACGAAAGCUAGGGGAGCGAACGGG